AGAGCGAACGCUGGCGGCAGGCCUAACACAUGCAAGUCGAACGGAUCCUUCGGGAUUAGUGGCGGACGGGUGAGUAACACGUGGGAACGUGCCUUUUGGUUCGGAACAACUCAGGGAAACUUGAGCUAAUACCGGAUGUGCCCUUCGGGGGAAAGAUUUAUCGCCAUUAGAGCGGCCCGCGUCUGAUUAGCUAGUUGGUGGGGUAAAGGCCUACCAAGGCUACGAUCAGUAGCUGGUCUGAGAGGAUGAUCAGCCACAUUGGGACUGAGACACGGCCCAAACUCCUACGGGAGGCAGCAGUGGGGAAUCUUGCGCAAUGGCGAAAGCCUGACGCAGCCAUGCCGCGUGAAUGAUGAAGGUCUUAGGAUUGUAAAAUUCUUUCACCGGGACGAUAAUGACGGUACCCGGAGAAGAAGCCCCGGCUAACUUCGUGCCAGCAGCCGC
rnacentral:rRNA from 1 species